UAGCCCAGUGGUUAAGGCUAUGGAUCGCCAAUCCGGAGACAGCGGGUUCGAUUCCCGU
rfam:Aedes albopictus isolate Foshan contig63807, whole genome shotgun sequence.